AUAGAACGCUGGCGGCCGGCCUAACACAGGCAAGUCGAGCAAGCGGCGGACGGGUGAGUAAUGUAUGGGGACUGCCCGAUAGAGGGGGAUAACUACUGGAAAAGGUAGCUAAUACCGCAUACUAUCGGAUAACCCAUAUUGGAUUAGCUCGUGGGUGAGGUAAUGGCUCACCUAGGCGACGAUCCCUAGCUGGUCUGAGAGGAUGAUCAGCCACACUGGGACUGAGACACGGCCCAGACUCCUACGGAGGCAGCAGUGGGGAAUAUUGCACAAUGGGCGCAAGCCUGAUGCAGCCAUGCCGCGUGUAUGAAGAAGGCCCUAGGGUUGUAAAGUACUUUCAGUCGGGAGGCGUUACCGACAGAAGAAGCACCGGCUAUCUCUGUGCCAGCAGCCGCGUUAAUUC
rnacentral:rRNA from 1 species